rnacentral:rRNA from 1 species
UACAGAGGUCUCAAGCGUUGUUCGGAUUCAUUGGGCGUAAAGGGUGCGUAGGUGGCGCCGUAAGUCAGGUGUGAAAUUUCGGAGCUUAACUCCGAAACUGCAUUUGAUACUGCGGUGCUUUGAGGACUGGAGAGGAGACUGGAAUUUACGGUGUAGCAGUGAAAUGCGUAGAGAUCGUAAGGAAGACUAGUGGCGAAGGCGGGUCUCUGGACAGUUCCUGACACUGAGGCACGAAGGCCAGGGGAGCAAACGGG